rnacentral:rRNA from 1 species
CCAGCUCCAAGAGUGUAUAUUAAAGUUGUUGCAGUUAAAACGCUCGUAGUUGAAUUUUUGAGAAGGAACUAGGGUGUACCCGAAGGGUAAUACUCUUGGAACUGCUCAUUUCUGGAUAUACUUUUAUAGUAUAUUUCCAGGGUUACUUUGAAAAAAUUAGAGUGUUCAAAGCAGGCAAUUGCUUGAAUAGAUUAGCAUGGGAUAACAAAUAGGACAUUUACCUAUUUGUUGGUUUAGAGGUGAAUGUAAUGAUUAAUAGGGACAGUUGGGGGCAUUAGUAUUCAAUUGUCAGAGGUGAAAUUCUUGGAUUUAUUGAAGACUAACUAGUGCGAAAGCAUUUGCCAAGGAUGUUUUCAUUAAUCAAGAACGAAAGUUAGGGGAUCGAAGACGAUCAGAUACCGUCGUAGUCUUAACCGUAAACGAUGCCGACUCGGGAUCGGUAGUAGUCGAAAAAGACAUUAUCGGCACCGUAAGAGAAAUCAAAGUUUUUAGGUUCUGGGGGGAGUAUGGUCGCAAGGCUGAAACUUAAAGGAAUUGACGGAAGGGCACCACCAGGAGUGGAGCCUGCGGCUUAAUUCGACUCAAC